rnacentral:misc_RNA from 1 species
CUUUUGGGAUGCGAUAUAGGAGCAUUUUUGAUGAAAGUUGAAGUGCUGUGUCAGUGACUCCCACACAAUCUGCUGGCAUCAUGCUUUGGACACAAAAAGCCUUACUGGCCAUACUUAUUCUGGCCGGCUGCAUGCUGCCGAGUCAGCAGCAGGCUAGGAAGGCCAGCCCCGUCGUCGACGUGCAGGACCCCAAGGAGUUCAAGAAGCUGCUCAAGACGACGCCGAACGUGCUCUGUCUGUUCGUCAAGAGCGCCGGCGUGGCCAAGGAGAUGAAGCGUGUGGUGGGCCUGACGGCCGAACAGGUCAAGGGCGUCGGCUCGGUGUUCUACGUCGACUGCAGCGGCGAGGGCCGCAAGAUCUGCAAGAAAUACAAGGUGGCGCCGGAGCCGGCGGCGCUGAUACACUACAAAGACGGCGCCUUCCACAAGGACUACGACCGCAAGAUGACGGUAACGUCGAUGGUGAACUUCAUGCGGGACCCGUCCGGCGACCUGCCCUGGGAGGAAGACGCCACAGCGGAGGACGUGGUUCACCUCAGUAACGCUCAGGCGCUGGCCGGCCUGCUGCGCCGCGAGGACAGGGCGCUCGUCAUGUUCUACGCUCCCUGGUGCGGAUUCUGCAAACGGAUAAAGCCCGAGUACGCGGCAGCGGCCACGGAGACGCGAGACAAACACGUGUUUGCCGCUAUUGACGUCAACCAGCCGGAGAAUUACGGCGUGCGGCAAAAGUACAAUAUCACCGGCUUCCCCACGCUUCUCUACUUUGUGAAGGGCGACGUAAAGUUCACGUAUGACGGAGAGUACAAUAAGGACGGUCUGAUGAAGUUUAUGGAUAGCCCCGGCCAGGCGGCGCCCAAGCCCAAAGAGGAGGUCUGGGCCGACACUCCGAGCGACGUGGUCCAUCUCACCGACAACAACUUUGACGACUUUGUCAAGGCCAACCCGUCCGUCCUGGUGAUGUUUUACGCGCCCUGGUGCGGACACUGUAAGCGGAUGAAGCCCCAGUACGAGGAGGCGGCAGCUGCCAUGAAGAAAGACGGCAAGUCGGGCGUUCUGGCCGCCCUGGAUGCCACCGAACACAAGGUGAUUGGCAGUCGGUACGACAUCAAGGGCUACCCGACCGUCAAGUACUUCCGCGACGGUGAGAUGGCCUUCGACCUGAACGUGCGCGACAAAGACAAGAUCCUCGAGUUCAUGGCAGACCCUCAGGAGCCGCCGCCGCCGCCGCCGCCCGAGACGCCCUGGUCGGAGGAGACGUCCGACGUGCAGCACCUCACCGACCAGACGUUCAAGGCGUUCCUCAAGAAGAAGAAGCACGUUCUGGUGAUGUUUUACGCGCCCUGGUGCGGCCACUGCAAGAAGGCCAAGCCCGAGUUCAGCGCGGCGGCUGCGGAGUUCAGUGACGACCCCAAGGUGGAAUUCGCGGCGGUGGACUGCACAGUCGAAACGGCUGUCUGCAAUGCCAACGACGUCAAGGGCUACCCCACGAUGAAGUACUACAACUAUUUCAAGACGUCGAAGCCAUAUGACGGCGGCCGGACGAAAUCGGACUUUGUCAAGUUCAUGCGCGACCCUAGCAACCCUCUGUCGGCCGCACCGCCGGCGCCCGCCCCGGAGGAGGAGUGGGGCGACCUACCGGGCGCCGAGCACCUCAAGCACCUCACGGACGCCGGGUUCGACCAGGCGGCGCGACAGGCAGACCCCAUGCUCGUCAUGUUUUAUGCGCCCUGGUGCGGUCACUGUAAGCGGAUGAAGCCCGCUUAUGCGGAGGCGGCGGCGCGCCUCGCCAAGUCCGGCCAGGCGGGUGUGGUGGCCACAGUAGACGCGACAGUGCAGCGGGGACUCCAGGACCGAUUUGACAUCCGGGGCUUCCCGACAAUCAAGCUGUUCCGCGGCGGCCAGGUGGUAGCUGACUAUAACGGUGAGCGCACAGCGGACGCGCUCUUUUCAUACAUGCGCUCACCGCCGGGCGCGCCCAAAACAGAGCUCUGACGGACGCAGGUCAGAUACUGUUUCCGCGGCUGACCGCUAGAGGCGCUGCACACCGCCCGUCAGGGGCGCUGUCGGCGCUCGCUCGCUUUCUAACGCUCUUUUUUGGAACAAAGCUCGACAUCCCGUGAGAACGCUUAGGCGCGUGAUAAGACUGCCUGCGGCCCGGAUCGACUGUGCUGUGUUGUUAUAACUGUGUGACUGUGUAGCCGCAGUUUGCUUGGCAUUCCGAGCGGAGGGUUCAACUGGUACAAUUUACAAUAGUGCUGGCGUGAUUCCACUGGCGUGGCGUUGUUACAAACGUCCAAUCCAGAGACGAUCUCCGACAGUGGUGAAGUCGUGAUGAUUUGAUAUACCACUACUUACUGUUGUCACACUAAUGUUGGUCAUAUGAAUAAAUAAUGUACUCAUUA